rnacentral:ncRNA from 1 species
AAUGUGUUUUAUUCUAGUUCAUAAAAUUUUAUAAUAAAUAAGUUUUAUAGUAAGAUUUUUUUGUGUUUUUUGAUUUAAAGUUUUAUUAACAAUAUUACUAGAAAUGAGUUUUGUUUUAUGAUAAUGAAAAUUAGUUACAGUAUUUAUUUAUUAGUGGCAGGUUAAAUCUCAGUGCCAGCAUCCGCGGUUAUACUGAUUUGCUUAAUUUUUUUAUGGGUGGCUUUAAUUUAGGUUGUUUUAUUAUUUGUUGGGGGGUUUUAUCUAUGUGAUAUUAUAUAAACUAAAAUGAUUUAUUGAAUAACUUUAUUUUUUAAACAAGAAUUAGAUACUCUUUUAUAAAUAAAAUUAUUUGAAGUUUCUCAGUUAUAACUGAAAGAAAUUGGCAGCCAAUUAUAUCCUUCUAGGGGAGUGUGUAUUUUAAUAGAUGUUCCACUUAUUAUUUUACUAUAUUUAUUUUGUUAGUGUAUAUCCGGUUUAGUUAUAUAAAAUGUAUGUUUUAUGUAAAAAUAUAUUUUUUUAAUCCAGGUCAAUAUGCUGCUUAUGGUAUAGUUAAUAUUCGCUACAUUUUAAAAUUGUUUAAUGAGAUUUUUAUUAUUUUAGGACUUAGUAGUAUUAUAGAAUUUUAACUAGUCUGUGAGAAUAAGGUUUAUUUGGGGCACACAUCGCCCGUCAUCUUCGAUUAUUUGUUGAAGCAAGUCGUAACAUGGUAACCAGGGGGGAACCCUUGGUUAAUAAAUU